GGGCACCACCAGGAGUGGAGCCUGCGGCUUAAUUUGACUCAACACGGGAAAACUCACCCGGCCCGGACACUAGGAGGAUUGACAGACUGACUAGCUCUUUCUUGAUUCAGUGGGUGGUGGUGCAUGGCCGUUCUUAGUUGGUGGAGCGAUUUGUCUGGUUAAUUCCGAUAACGAACGAGACUCUAGCCUACUAGUUAGCCGGCCCGGUCGUUAUGCGCCCGGGCAGCGAGCUUCUUAGAGGGUCAGACGGCGAGUAAGCCGUACGAGAUAGAGCAAUAACAGGUCUGUGAUGCCCUUAGAUGUUCUGGGCUGCACGCGCGCUACACUGAAGGAAUCAGCGUGUGUUCCCUACCCGAAAGGGUUGGGAAACCCGUUGAACCUCCUUCGUGAUGGGGAUUGGGGAUUGCAAUUAUUCCCCAUGAACGAGGAAUUCCCAGUAGGCGCGAGUCAUAAGCUCGCGUCGAUUACGUCCCUGCCCUUUGUACACACCGCCCGUCGCUACUACCGAUCGAGUUAUUU
rnacentral:rRNA from 1 species